UGCGUAUCGGAAAUUUGAUGUUGUUAAAUUAUUACACCUUUUGAUUACAACAUCUUUAAGGAAUUAAAUGUUAUAUUUUUGACAUUAAGCGUUGGUAUAAAUAUGCAACUCCUAUUGUGUUUCUGUACAAGGUAUUUCAUUCACCAUGGAAGGACAACACUUGUAUCUUUCUCUCCUGUGCCUCGUCGCUGUGUACACUUUUGCCUCAGCAAAUCCGUAUAAUGUAGCUUCUGCACGUGCUAGUGCUACAGCCUACAACCCAGGAAAAUACAAUCCAGGAAAUAACUACAACCCAUCAAAAUAUGG